AUUGAACGCUGGCGGCAUGCCUUACACAUGCAAGUCGAACGGCAGCACGGGAGCAAUCCUGGUGGCGAGUGGCGAACGGGUGAGUAAUAUAUCGGAACGUGCCCAGUCGUGGGGGAUAACGUAGCGAAAGCUACGCUAAUACCGCAUACGAUCUAUGGAUGAAAGCGGGGGAUCGCAAGACCUCGCGCGAUUGGAGCGGCCGAUAUCAGAUUAGGUAGUUGGUGAGGUAAAGGCUCACCAAGCCGACGAUCUGUAGCUGGUCUGAGAGGACGACCAGCCACACUGGGACUGAGACACGGCCCAGACUCCUACGGGAGGCAGCAGUGGGGAAUUUUUGGACAAUGGGCGCAAGCCUGAUCCAACAAUGCCGCGUGCAGGAUGAAGGCCUUCGGGUUGUAAACUGCUUUUGUACGGAACGAAACGGUGAGCUCUAAUACAGUUUGCUAAUGACGGUACCGUAAGAAUAAGCACCGGCUAACUACGUG
rnacentral:rRNA from 1 species